rnacentral:rRNA from 1 species
CCUGGCUCAGAUUGAACGCUGGCGGCAGGCCUAACACAUGCAAGUCGAACGGUAGCACAGAGAGCUUGCUCUCGGGUGACGAGUGGCGGACGGGUGAGUAAUGUCUGGGAAACUGCCCGAUGGAGGGGGAUAACUACUGGAAACGGUAGCUAAUACCGCAUAACGUCUUCGGACCAAAGUGGGGGACCUUCGGGCCUCACACCAUCGGAUGUGCCCAGAUGGGAUUAGCUAGUAGGUGGGGUAAUGGCUCACCUAGGCGACGAUCCCUAGCUGGUCUGAGAGGAUGACCAGCCACACUGGAACUGAGACACGGUCCAGACUCCUACGGGAGGCAGCAGUGGGGAAUAUUGCACAAUGGGCGCAAGCCUGAUGCAGCCAUGCCGCGUGUAUGAAGAAGGCCUUCGG